UCUUCCUCUCUAACAUGGGAUCCUCUCUAACAAUAUUCAAACAGCAGUUCUUCUGCAGUCAAAUUCUACCUGUGUUAAAAGCAGUCAACAACCAAAACUGUCUUUAGGUUGUCCUGAGUUAAUAAUGCUUCGUGAUGUGUAGACAGACCUUUGUUCUGCAUCUAGCAUGUACCAGGUGCAGCUUGUAUAUUACAUUCUCUGAGAAAUCUUUCUUCAUGGUGUCCAGUAUUUAUCCUUCAUCAGUAGUUACUACAUCAAACUGGAAUUGCGGCUCCACUUCUUGGUUCUUCAACUGGAGGAUGAAUAUUUUGAGUGCAAGGACAGUCUUGAUUUUUGCUAUGUUCAUCUCAGCAUCUGACCUAUUCACAAGUCAUGUGGAACAAAGCACAUGUCUUUUCACAGUGUUCCUGGGUCCACUUGUGUUCUGGAAGAUUUGUCCUCUGGGCCGGCUCUGGAGGCUAUUGUCCUUUCGUGAUCAUUUGCCAUUGCCCUUAUGUUGAGUACCAUGCAAUGCUGAUGCUACUUAUGCCUAUUACAUAGAGGACUUGGCAUGAGACAAAAUCUCAACAGAAGCAUAACCAUGUGAUGGAAACUCUACAAAAAUUUAUCUCACUUUGACUUUUCUGUUCCCUACAUUUUGUACAUGUUGAACAGCUGGCCAUUAGACUUGGGGUCCAGAGUGAGAAAAAAAAGUAUUUUACAAAGUAACAAGAUUGAGGUUUCAGAAACUACAGACUUUACUUUACUUCACUCCCCUCAAUUGCCCUGUGGAUAUUAUAUCUAUUUUACAGAUAAUCAGACAAAAUGGAAAACAACUUCUCUAAAAUAGAGGAAGGCCAGAUUGGACACAAUUAUGCCUAACGUGGCAAUUCAUAGUUUUUUACACACUUAAUGGAGUAACCUUGACCUGGGAUAAUUCCAGCCAAGGUUGGAAUAAAUUAAUUUAUUUAGAAUUAAAUACUCCUUGGCCAAACACAAUGUGUUAAAAAGAGAAUUCAGUUACAAUCAUCUCUCAAUAAUUGGCAAUAAAAAACUUACAAGAAUAGCUGAUUAUUAACAAAUUUUAUGUGAGCUAAAACUCAUAAAUAGUAUGUGAAAAACUGAAUGAUGCCAUUAGACUAUACCCCGGCUAUAAAAGGAGACAGGUUAUAAGUGAGAUGUGAUGAGUACCAUGUUAGGUCAAUUUAUUCCUCCAGAGUUUAUGGCAAAUAAUCAUUUAGCAGAUGGAUAAUUCUGUAGGAAAUUUCAUUUAGUUGACUUCCUCUUUACUUACCCUAUAUUUCUUCAUAAGCUUGAGUCUACUCAAAAAUAACUUCUGGGAUAUUAUUUGGGAGAGAAACACAGACUUAUUUUAUUCCAGAGGGAAAACAAAAGGUUGUCUACGUAUUAGCUUAAUCCAUAAAAUGUAGUAGCAGCACUAUGACUAUUCUCCAUGAGGAAGUCUGCCAGAGUAGAAUAAAUACUCUGUGUAGAAACUCCAGAAGGGACCUCUGUCAUGGAGUUUAAAUUAUGAAGUGUUUUCAGGAAACAUGUAUUUUAUCUCGGGUCAAGGCCAGCUGGGGUUGCAAAGACAGUCUCUCAUGAUUUGAUAUUUGCCUGAUACCUCCUGAAGGAAUAGUCGGGGUCCUGGAGGGGUGUGUGUUCUGGGCUGACAGCUCAUGUCUGUUUUCAAGGCACCAUUACCUAUGGCAGGUGAUGAAACACUCUGUGGGUUUUGACACAGUGAAGGCUGGAAUAAUUCAAAAGGGUCUUGCUGAGGUUACUGUACUCCCUGUGAGUGUUCACAGAAUCAUACCUCGUGUGUACAAACACACAGGCAUAUGGAGUCAUGAACACACAUGUGCAUACACACAUUGGCACACAUAUGUUCUCAUGUGCACUUGCACUUUUAAAAAAGCUUACAUUUUAGUGCUUUGCAAUAAGGACAAUAUUUUGAAAAUAUUAAGCUAUGUAUUUUAUAUCUUGCUCCCUUCCAACUUUCUACUUCUAAUACUGGGUGUGAACUGUAAAACCUCUGGGAACAUGUGAGUUGGGGGAUGUGUCACUCAGAGCAAAGAAAUCAAAACUAUCAAUACAAUUGAUUGAAUAUUUGUGUACCCACAAAAUUCAUAUGUUGGAACUCUAAUCCCCAAUGUGACUUGGUGGUGUGGUAUUCAGAAGGUAAGUUGGAUAUGGGCAUGAAGUACUCAUGAUGAGACUAGUAAGUACCUCAUAAGAAGAGAAAGAAGAAAGAAUUUUCUGUCUCUUCCUCCCUUCCUGCCCUCCCUUCUCCCUCUUUUCCUCCUGCCACAAGAAGACAUUAUAGAUAGCUAAGCUAGGUAAAAAAUAUUGUAGGCAGUCAUACAGGGCUAGACCAUUGGGGGAGUCUGUACAGAGGACAGGAACACAUUACAACUGUGACCAGAAGCACAUCUGUUGGAGGACAAGCUUCAAGAUAAAGACAGAAUGACAAGGCUUACCUGCCUCCCUGAGGGGUGAAUGAUGGAUUGGAAAUAGUGCUUGCCAGGUAGAUGUCUGUACUGAUUACCCUUGUGGGUAGGUGAAACUCCCUGGUUAGCAUUUUCCUAAAAAGACUCUCAUUCUUUCUUUGUGUAUUUGCUUACAUGACCUGCUUCUCUAUUGAAUCAAUGUUACCUAAGCGACUAAACUUGUAAUAUCGUUGCUUGAUCAUAGUUUUGUCCCAUGUUGUGAUUUUGCUCUCUAACACUCUGUAAAAUGGAGGACACAGCAGCCCAUUUUGGGGGAGCCCCUCCAAAAACAGUUGAGAGUUUCUAUCUCUGUCUCAAUAAAUAGUUUCUAUUCUUAA